AGUGGCGUACGGGUGAGUAACACGUGGAUUAUCUACCUUUUAGUGGGGAAUACCCCUGGGAAACCGGGGACAAUACCGCAUAAGCCCGCAAGGGGAAAGCAGCAAUGCGCUGAAAGAGGAGUCCGCGGCUGAUUAGCUAGUUGGCGGGGUAACGGCCCACCAAGGCGAAGAUCGGUAGCCGGCCUGAGAGGGCACACGGCCACACUGGCACUGAAAUACGGGCCAGACUCCUACGGGAGGCAGCAGUGGGGAAUCUUGCACAAUGGAGGCAACUCUGAUGCAGCGACGCCGCGUGAGCGAUGAAGCCCUUCGGGGUGUAAAGCUCUUUCGACGGGAACGAUAAUGACGGUACCCGGAGAAGAAGCUGCGGCUAACUACGUGCCAGCAGCCGCGGUAAUACGUAGGCAGCAAGCGUUGUUCGGAAUUAUUGGGCGUAAAGAGUGCGUAGGCGGUGUUCCAAGUCUGUCGUGAAAUCUCCCGGCUUAACUGGGAGGGUGCGGCGGAAACUGGGAUGCUAGAAGGUGGGAGAGGUAAGCGGAAUUCCUGGUGUAGCGGUGAAAUGCGUAGAUAUCAGGAGGAACACCUGUGGUGUAGACAGCUUACUGGACCACUUCUGACGCUGAGGCACGAAAGCGUGGGUAGCAAACAGGAUUAGAUACCCUGGUAGUCCAC
rnacentral:rRNA from 1 species